UACAGAGGGUGCAAGCGUUGUUCGGAAUUAUUGGGCGUAAAGCGCGUGUAGGCGGCUUUGCAAGUCGGGUGUGAAAGCCCCGGGCUCAACCUGGGAAUGGCAAUGGAUACUGGCAGGCUAGAGUGCGGUAGAGGGUAGUGGAAUUCCCGGUGUAGCGGUGAAAUGCGUAGAGAUCGGGAGGAACACCAGUGGCGAAGGCGGCUACCUGGACCAGCACUGACACUGAGGCACGAAAGCGUGGGGAGCAAACAGG
rnacentral:rRNA from 1 species